rnacentral:rRNA from 1 species
AACGCGAAGAACCUUACCUGGGCUCGAACGGCUAUGGACAAUCUUUGGAAACAGAGACUUCUCGCAAGAGACUGUAGUCGAGGUGCUGCAUGGCUGUCGUCAGCUCGUGUCGUGAGAUGUUGGGUUAAGUCCCGCAACGAGCGCAACCCUUGUCCUGUGUUGCCAUCAUUAAGUUGGGCACUCUCAGGAGACCGCCAGCGAUAAGCUGGAGGAAGGUGGGGAUGAUGUCAAGUCAUCAUGGCCUUUAUGUCCAGGGCUACACACGUGCUACAAUGGCCGGUACAAAGCGCUGCAAACUCGCAAGAGGGAGCUAAUCGCAAAAAACCGGUCUCAGUUCGGAUCGCAGGCUGCAACUCGCCUGCGUGAAGCUGGAAUCGCUAGUAAUGCCGUAUCAGAACGAUGGCGUGAAUACGUUCCCGGGCCUUGUA